rnacentral:lncRNA from 1 species
UACUCGAAAGGCUGACUGGGUUGAUGAAUGGAAUUCCCCUCCGUAAUUUUUGGAGUCAUAAUUUUUGCCCCUUGGACUGUGCUUCUUGAAGUGCAGCGUGCCUGGAGCCCGGGCCGUGGGGCCACUCGGCUACGGAUGCUAUGUGAUCUAACCAGGACCCAGGAAGGGGCCCUCUGGCUGCAGUGAGAGAGGGGUACACGGGGCGACACGCAGUGUUCUCAGGAGGGCGGCACAGCUGCUGCAGGUGAGAAGUGCUGGGGACGGUCGAGAUCACUGGACGCCCUCAGAAAUGGUACUGCGGCUGGAGAAAUCAUUAACGAGGAAAGAAAUAACCCAAUUUCCGGGAGGCUGGGACAGGAGAAUUGCUUGAACCCGGGAGCAGAGGUUGCCGGGAGCCGAGA